ACGAACGCUGGCGGCAUGCCUAACACAUGCCAGUCGAACGAGACCUUCGGGUCUAGUGGCGCACGGGUGCGUAACGCGUGGGAACCUGCCCUUAGGUUCGGAAUAACUCCCCGAAGGGGGUGCUAAUACCGGAUAAUGUCUUCGGACCAAAGAUUUAUCGCCUUUGGAUGGGCCCGCGUUGGAUUAGCUAGUUGGUAGGGUAAAAGCCUACCAAGGCGACGAUCCAUAGCUGGUCUGAGAGGAUGAUCAGCCACACUGGGACUGAGACACGGCCCAGACUCCUACGGGAGGCAGCAGUGGGGAAUAUUGGACAAUGGGCGAAAGCCUGAUCCAGCAAUGCCGCGUGAGUGAUGAAGGCCUUAGGGUUGUAAAGCUCUUUUACCCGGGAUGAUAAUGACAGUACCGGGAGAAUAAGCUCCGGCUAACUCCGUG
rnacentral:rRNA from 1 species